GGGAGUUACUCUUUUACCACCAUGUCAAGUACUGAACAGAUCUUGAGAGUGAAUUUCAUGCCUCUAACCAGCUGCCAGUGAAAGUGUCCCCUGAAUUGCUUGCUGGUAACUGUCCUGCAGAACUGGCACCAGCAACCUCCAUGCAAGCACCUCCCACACUCAUGUGCCAAUAGGUCUGGAAAAGUCCAGGGCAUCAGAAGUUCAGUGCCAGAGCAGUAGCCCCACAAGAAAUAAAUCCUGUGCUUCUGACUCUUCAAGACAUGACUCUGAAGCAUCUAGUGCUGGGGUGCUGUAACUCACAUGGAAAGAAAAGCAUGGACUACCUCUGUCAGGCUCCCACAUCAACCCAGCCUCCUGAGCUACACUCACUCAUGAAUUCUCCACUUACCAGAGGAGAGAUCUCCUUGCAUCAUAUGUAAAUACAGUAUGUGCGGUCCAGCCAAGGGAGCCCCAUUAGAAGUAAGCCACCAUCCUUCUGUGGAAUCUGGCUCAAAGGUGACCAGGUGUUGUACUUGGCUCCAAAUAUUUAGACUCUUUUAACAAACAGUACUAUUUGGACUCAGAUUUGACUUAAAACCAUACAAUUUUUUGUAUCGAUUUUUCCAGUUGAAAUUAUACAUGUUCUAUGAAAAUACUUGCUUCUGUAAACACUGCAUUUUUCUCCCGCCUUAAGUAGCAAAAUACUAAAGUAUUUUUAAAGAAGCUGAUAU